ensembl:misc_RNA 7SK 7SK RNA
GGAUGUGAAGUUCAUCUAGCUGUGAUGUCUCUCACCCAUUGAUUGCCGAGUUGAUUCGGCUGAUCUGGCUUUUUAGGCGAGUGUCACCUUCCUCCCUCACCUCUCCAUAUACAUCCUUCCCAAAGGUGCGUGCUCAGGGUGAAGAGGCUGACCUUCCCCGAAAGAGAAGGCCCGUCCUUCCGUCAAGGGUAUAGGAUACAAGUAGCUGUGCUUUCCUGCUAGAACCUCCAAACAAGCUCUCAAGGUCCAUUUGUAGGAGAACGUAGGAUAGUCAAGCUUCGAAGACUCCAGACACAUCCAAGUGAGGUACUGCUUGUGGCGGUCUGCCUUUCUU